rnacentral:rRNA from 1 species
GAUGAACGCUGGCGGCGUGCCUAAUACAUGCAAGUCGAGCGAACGGACGAGAAGCUUGCUUCUCUGAUGUUAGCGGCGGACGGGUGAGUAACACGUGGAUAACCUACCUAUAAGACUGGGAUAACUUCGGGAAACCGGAGCUAAUACCGGAUAAUAUUUUGAACCGCAUGGUUCAAAAGUGAAAGACGGUCUUGCUGUCACUUAUAGAUGGAUCCGCGCUGCAUUAGCUAGUUGGUAAGGUAACGGCUUACCAAGGCAACGAUGCUUAGCCGACCUGAGAGGGUGAUCGGCCACACUGGAACUGAGACACGGUCCAGACUCCUACGGGAGGCAGCAGUAGGGAAUCUUCCGCAAUGGGCGAAAGCCUGGCGGAGCAACGCCGCGUGAGUGAUGAAGGUCUUCGGAUCGUAAAACUCUGUUAUUAGGGAAGAACAUAUGUGUAAGUAACUGUGCACAUCUUGACGGUACCUAAUCAGAAAGCCACGGCUAACUACGUG